CCUACGGGAGGCUGCAGUGGGGAAUAUUGGACAAUGGGCGAAAGCCUGAUCCAGCCAUGCCGCGUGUGUGAAGAAGGCCUUCGGGUUGUAAAGCACUUUCAGUGGGGAAGAAAGCCUUGGGGCUAAUACCCUCGAGGAAGGACAUCACCCACAGAAGAAGCACCGGCUAACUCCGUGCCAGCAGCCGCGGUAAUACGGAGGGUGCGAGCGUUAAUCGGAAUUACUGGGCGUAAAGCGCGCGUAGGCGGUCUGAUAAGCCGGUUGUGAAAGCCCCGGGCUCAACCUGGGAACGGCAUCCGGAACCGUCAGGAUAGAGUGCAGGAGAGGAAGGUAGAAUUCCCGGUGUAGCGGUGAAAUGCGUAGAGAUCGGGAGGAAUACCAGUGGCGAAGGCGGCCUUCUGGACUGACACUGACGCUGAGGUGCGAAAGCGUGGGUAGCAAACAGGAUUAGAUACCCCGGUAGUC
rnacentral:rRNA from 1 species